rnacentral:rRNA from 1 species
GGGUUGUGAGGUUAAGCGACUAAGCGUACACGGUGGAUGCCCUGGCAGUCAGAGGCGAUGAAGGACGUGCUAAUCUGCGAAAAGCGCCGGCGAGGUGAUAUGAACCCUUGACCCGGCGAUGUCCGAAUGGGGAAACCCAGUGCAAUCCGUUGCACUAUCGUUAACUGAAUACAUAGGUUAACGAGGCGAACCGGGGGAACUGAAACAUCUAAGUACCCCGAGGAAAAGAAAUCAACCGAGAUUCCCCCAGUAGCGGCGAGCGAACGGGGAGCAGCCCAGAGUCUGAAUCAGCUUGUGUGUUAGUGGAAGCGUCUGGAAAGUCGCACGGUACAGGGUGAUAGUCCCGUACACGAAAAUGCACAGGCUGUGAACUCGAAGAGUAGGGCGGGACACGUGGUAUCCUGUCUGAAUAUGGGGGGACCAUCCUCCAAGGCUAAAUACUCCUGACUGACCGAUAGUGAACCAGUACCGUGAGGGAAAGGCGAAAAGAACCCCGGCGAGGGGAGUGAAAAAGAACCUGAAACCGUGUACGUACAAGCAGUGGGAGCACCUUCGUGGUGUGACUGCGUACCUUUUGUAUAAUGGGUCAGCGACUUAUAUUCUGUAGCAAGGUUAACCGUAUAGGGGAGCCGAAGGGAAACCGAGUCUUAACUGGGCGUUAAGUUGCAGGGUAUAGACCCGAAACCCGGUGAUCUAGCCAUGGGCAGGUUGAAGGUUGGGUAACACUAACUGGAGGACCGAACCGACUAAUGUUGAAAAAUUAGCGGAUGACCUGUGGCUGGGGGUGAAAGGCCAAUCAAACCGGGAGAUAGCUGGUUCUCCCCGAAAGCUAUUUAGGUAGCGCCUCGUGAACUCAUCUUCGGGGGUAGAGCACUGUUUCGGCUAGGGGGCCAUCCCGGCUUACCAACCCGAUGCAAACUACGAAUACCGAAGAAUGUUAUCACGGGAGACACACGGCGGGUGCUAACGUCCGUCGUGAAGAGGGAAACAACCCAGACCGCCAGCUAAGGUCCCAAAGUCAUGGUUAAGUGGGAAACGAUGUGGGAAGGCCCAGACAGCCAGGAUGUUGGCUUAGAAGCAGCCAUCAUUUAAAGAAAGCGUAAUAGCUCACUGGUCGAGUCGGCCUGCGCGGAAGAUGUAACGGGGCUAAACCAUGCACCGAAGCUGCGGCAGCGACGCUUAUGCGUUGUUGGGUAGGGGAGCGUUCUGUAAGCCGUUGAAGGUGGCCUGUGAGGGUUGCUGGAGGUAUCAGAAGUGCGAAUGCUGACAUAAGUAACGAUAAAGCGGGUGAAAAGCCCGCUCGCCGGAAGACCAAGGGUUCCUGUCCAACGUUAAUCGGGGCAGGGUGAGUCGACCCCUAAGGCGAGGCCGAAAGGCGUAGUCGAUGGGAAACAGGUUAAUAUUCCUGUACUUGGUGUUACUGCGAAGGGGGGACGGAGAAGGCUAUGUUAGCCGGGCGACGGUUGUCCCGGUUUAAGCAUGUAGGCGGAGGUUCCAGGUAAAUCCGGUACCUUUUAACGCUGAGGUGUGAUGACGAGGCACUACGGUGCUGAAGUAACAAAUGCCCUGCUUCCAGGAAAAGCCUCUAAGCAUCAGGUAACACGAAAUCGUACCCCAAACCGACACAGGUGGUCAGGUAGAGAAUACCAAGGCGCUUGAGAGAACUCGGGUGAAGGAACUAGGCAAAAUGGUGCCGUAACUUCGGGAGAAGGCACGCUGAUAUGUAGGUGAAGCCCCUGCGGGUGGAGCUGAAAUCAGUCGAAGAUACCAGCUGGCUGCAACUGUUUAUUAAAAACACAGCACUGUGCAAACACGAAAGUGGACGUAUACGGUGUGACGCCUGCCCGGUGCCGGAAGGUUAAUUGAUGGGGUUAGCGGCAACGCGAAGCUCUUGAUCGAAGCCCCGGUAAACGGCGGCCGUAACUAUAACGGUCCUAAGGUAGCGAAAUUCCUUGUCGGGUAAGUUCCGACCUGCACGAAUGGCGUAAUGAUGGCCAGGCUGUCUCCACCCGAGACUCAGUGAAAUUGAACUCGCUGUGAAGAUGCAGUGUACCCGCGGCAAGACGGAAAGACCCCGUGAACCUUUACUAUAGCUUGACACUGAACACUGGUCCUUGAUGUGUAGGAUAGGUGGGAGGCUUUGAAGCGUGGACGCCAGUCUGCGUGGAGCCGUCCUUGAAAUACCACCCUUUAAUGGCUGGUGUUCUAACGUAGACCCGUAAUCCGGGUUGCGGACAGUGUCUGGUGGGUAGUUUGACUGGGGCGGUCUCCUCCCAAAGAGUAACGGAGGAGCACGAAGGUUAGCUAAUCCUGGUCGGACAUCAGGAGGUUAGUGCAAUGGCAUAAGCUAGCUUGACUGCGAGAGUGACGGCUCGAGCAGGUGCGAAAGCAGGUCAUAGUGAUCCGGUGGUUCUGAAUGGAAGGGCCAUCGCUCAACGGAUAAAAGGUACUCCGGGGAUAACAGGCUGAUACCGCCCAAGAGUUCAUAUCGACGGCGGUGUUUGGCACCUCGAUGUCGGCUCAUCACAUCCUGGGGCUGAAGUAGGUCCCAAGGGUAUGGCUGUUCGCCAUUUAAAGUGGUACGCGAGCUGGGUUUAGAACGUCGUGAGACAGUUCGGUCCCUAUCUGCCGUGGGCGCUGGAGAAUUGAGGGGGGCUGCUCCUAGUACGAGAGGACCGGAGUGGACGCAUCACUGGUGUUCGGGUUGUCAUGCCAAUGGCACUGCCCGGUAGCUAAAUGCGGAAGAGAUAAGUGCUGAAAGCAUCUAAGCACGAAACUUGCCCCGAGAUGAGUUCUCCCUGAGACUUAAAGUCUCCUGAAGGAACGUUGAAGACGACGACGUUGAUAGGUCGGGUGUGUAAGCGCAGCGAUGCGUUGAGCUAACCGAUACUAAUGAACCGUGAGGCUUAACCUUACAACGCCGAAGGUGUUU